rnacentral:tRNA from 1 species
GCGAGAGUGGCGGAACCUGGCAGACGCGCUGGACUUAGGAUCCAGUGGCGAAGAGCCGUGUGGGUUCAAAUCCCACCUCUCGCACCA